AGCCUGAGACGUGAUGCGUAGCCGAUUGAGGCGAAUUCAGUGAUCCUAUGCUGCCGAGAAAAGCCUCUAGCGAGCUUUCACACGGCCCGUACCCCAAACCGACACAGGUGGUCAGGUAGAGAAUACUAAGGCGAUCGAGAUAACUGUGGUUAAGGAACUCGGCAAAAUGCCCCCGUAACUUCGGGAGAAGGGGGGCCUCUGCCGGUGACCGGACUUGCUCCGUGAGCUGGUGGGGGCCGCAGAGACCAGAGAGAAGCGACUGUUUACUAAAAACACAGGUCCGUGCGAAGUCGUAAGACGAUGUAUACGGACUGACGCCUGCCCGGUGCUGGAAGGUUAAGAGGACCGGUUAGCCAGUAAUGGCGAAGCUGAGAAUUUAAGCCCCAGUAAACGGCGGUGGUAACUAUAACCAUCCUAAGGUAGCGAAAUUCCUUGUCGGGUAAGUUCCGACCUGCACGAAUGGCGUAACGACUUCUCUGCUGUCUCAACCACAGACUCGGCGAAAUUGCAUUACGAGUAAAGAUGCUCGUUACGCGCGGCAGGACGAAAAGACCCCGGGACCUUCACUAUAGCUUGGUAUUGGUGUUCGGUUCGGUUUGUGUAGGAUAGGUGGGAGACUGUGAAGCAUGCACGCCAGUGUGUGUGGAGUCGUUGUUGAAAUACCACUCUGAUCGUAUUGGACAUCUAACCUCGGACCAUGAUCUGGUUCAGGGACAGUGCCUGGUGGGUAGUUUAACUGGGGCGGUUGCCUCCCAAAAUGUAACGGAGGCGCCCAAAGGUUCCCUCAGCCUGGUUGGCAAUCAGGUGUCGAGUGCAAGUGCACAAGGGAGCUUGACUGUGAGACUGACAGGUCGAGCAGGGACGAAAGUCGGGACUAGUGAUCCGGCACCGGCAAGUGGAAGCGGUGUCGCUCAACGGAUAAAAGGUACCCCGGGGAUAACAGGCUGAUCUUCCCCAAGAGUCCAUAUCGACGGGAUGGUUUGGCACCUCGAUGUCGGCUCGUCGCAUCCUGGGGCUGGAGUAGGUCCCAAGGGUUGGGCUGUUCGCCCAUUAAAGCGGCACGCGAGCUGGGUUUAGAACGUCGUGAGACAGUUCGGUCUCUAUCCGCCGCGCGCGUUAGAAACUUGAGGAAGGCUGUCCCUAGUACGAGAGGACCGGGACGGACGAACCUCUGGUGUGCCAGUUGUUCCGCCAGGAGCACUGCUGGUUAGCUACGUUCGGAAGGGAUAACCGCUGAAAGCAUCUAAGCGGGAAGCCUGUUCCAAGAUGAGGUUUCUCACCCCCUCGAGGGGGUAAGGCCCCCGGCAGACCACCGGGUUGAUAGGCCAGAACUGGAAGUCCGGUAACGGAUGGAGGUGACUGGUACUAAUAGGCCGAGGACUUACCACA
rnacentral:rRNA from 2 species